rnacentral:rRNA from 1 species
AUAGGUUUAGGGCACUGGAAGGUCCCUAAACCGAAAGGGGCUCUGCCCGCCCGAGGAUGGGCCGGCGGCCGAUUAGGUAGUUGGUGGGGUAACGGCCCACCAAGCCCAUAAUCGGUACGGGCAGUGAGAGCUGGAGCCCGGAGAUGGACACUGAGACACGGGUCCAGGCCCUACGGGGCGCAGCAGGCGCGAAACCUCCGCAAUGCUCGAAAGAGCGACGGGGGGACCCCAAGUGCCGUGGUACAACCACGGCUUUUCCGGAGUGUAAGAAGCUCCGGGAAUAAGGGCUGGGCAAGGCCGGUGGCAGCCGCCGCGGUAAUACCGGCGGCCCGAGUGGUGGCCACUAUUAUUGGGCCUAAAGCGUCCGUAGCCGGGCUUGUAAGUCCCUGGCGAAAUCCCACGGCUCAACCGUGGGGCUUGCUGGGGAUACUGCAAGCCUUGGGACCGGGAGAGGCCGGGGGUACUCCUGGGGUAGGGGUGAAAUCCUAUAAUCCCAGGAGGACCGCCAGUGGCGAAGGCGCCCGGCUGGAACGGGUCCGACGGUGAGGGACGAAGGCCAGGGGAGCAAACCGGAUUAGAUACCCGGGUAGUCCUGGCUGUAAAGGAUGCGGGCUAGGUGUUGCUUGGACCUCGAGUCCAAGCAGUGCCGCAGG